rnacentral:misc_RNA from 1 species
GGAAAAUGAUAGAGUAAUGGUAGUCACGUGAACAACUGUCUUACACGACGCUUGCCUACCACCUUUUAGGGUUGGCUUCAACCCAUACCUAGUUAAUUGGUUAUUGUUGUAGAAUCAUCUGUAGCUGUAGCUGAUGGUGGCGGAGGGAAGUCGUUGUAUGGUCAUCUUCCCACUUUUCUUUCCUAUUUUAUUUUCUUUAUAUGAGAUUAAAAAAAGUUGGUGUCUUCAUUUACGCAAUCUGUUCAUUUGUAGAUAUCAUAUCAUGUAUAACAAUGCAGACAGCAGACAAAAGGAUAGAAGCUAGCUUAAGCAGCAAGUGAACAUGUUAUUCCCGGUGGUUUUUGUCCCUUUAUCCCUUGGGAUUAAUGCCAAGAGUUGUAGUCUUGAAGCGCUUGCCAAGAAGAAAACGAUGUGAGGCCACAUGGGCUCUUCAUGUUGGGACUUGGGUACCCAACACUAAGCUUCGAUGGUGCCAUCUCUAAGCCAUCAUGAUGGGGGACCCUAUGCUUCUGAUUCCUGUUUUCCAGAACUUGAUGUUUCAAGAAAGAAACUACUGUUCUUGUUUUGACCGCUUUGGGAAGCUGUUUUUGAUUGUGGGUUUUUGUUUUUAAGCGGAUCAGAAAGCUACUGUUUCUGAUACAAAACUUCAACUUGUUGUAGACUAUAGUUUCUAAUCUUGAAGAGUUCUGGAAGUUGCUGCAUAUGUGCUUUCUCAUUUGCCAUCCAAAUCUCGAAUUUGUUGAAAUGUUUUAAUUUAACCAUCCAAAUCUUGAAUUUGUUGAAAUGCUUUAUUUUACUUUGAUUCACAGCAUAUAAUAUGUAAAUUUCUGAUAGGAAUUAUAUGUAUUGCACUGUUUAGAUAAAUUUUGAGAGAGGAAAAAAAAUAAAAGAAG